CAGCAGCCGCGGGAAUACGAAGGGUGCAAGCGUUAAUCGGAAUUACUGGGCGUAAAGCGCGCGUAGGUGGUUCGCCAAGUUGGAUGUGAAAUCCCCGGGCUCAACCUGGGAACUGCAUCCAAAACUGGCGAGCUAGAGUAUGGUAGAGGGUGGUGGAAUUUCCUGUGUAGCGGUGAAAUGCGUAGAUAUAGGAAGGAACAUCAGUGGCGAAGGCGGCCACCUGGACUGAUACUGACCCUGAUGUGCGAAAGCGUGGGGAGCAAACAGGAUUAGAUACCCCAGUAGUCCCUGUUCUUAUACA
rnacentral:rRNA from 1 species